GGAUUUCUUGGUUGUUCCGAGUGGCCAGGAUUUCAAUCAGAGCCUGUUCAUCAGUGCCAGCUCCCUAGAAACCCAUUGGAAAGGAGCUUACAGUAAGAUUCCUGUUAUUGAGAAUAAGGCCACAGAUUUAAUCAUAAGAAGGCAGCUUUGGUACGUUCUCUGGACUUUUCCUCUAACUAACCUUAGACACAAAGUGGACCUUGAUUGACCCCCAAACACACCAUUGGUCACAAAGGGAAAUCAAAAGGGAUGUGCAGCCCAUACUCACUGCUUGAGGUGAAUCAUUAGACUGAAAAGUACACAACAAAAAUAACUAGGACCUAACACCCAAAUUAGUGAGAUGAGAACUCUUGGCGACCCCUAAAGAACUCAUUCCAGUCACCAGGAAGCAACUCAAGACAGAUCAGCAGCACCACCUUCUCUGAUCAAAGACAAAGAUAGAACCAGCUAACUGGCUAGCUGAAGCUGCUGGCCCUGACAGCCUCAAGAACUACAGAGAAUGAAUGAGAGGAAAAGGGGGAAAAAACGGAACUUGGACUUUCUUCUCUUCAUCAGGAGGAUAAAGAAGAGUAGAGCAGCCAGUGGGAGUUGGGGGAGAAUGGGAGAGCAGGAGCCAAGACUUGGACUCAUGUUGUGUGUGUGUAAAUGUAUGAGUGUGAGUGUGUUAAUGUGGUCGAAUGUGUAUGAUGUGUGUUUGUUUGUACGUGCUUGAGUGAAUUGGUGCCAGAGAGAGAACAGGCAACAGGAAACAGAUGCAUGACCGAAUACAUGUGCCCACAUCUGCAAAGUUCAGGAAGUUAAGCGGGAAAGUUGAGAAAGAACUAAAAAAGAUUCCUCUUUCCAAUAAAUCAGAGUGAAAGCCUCUUUCUGAAAA